rnacentral:rRNA from 1 species
UACGAAGGGGGCGAGCGUUGUUCGGAUUUACUGGGCGUAAAGGGCGCGUAGGCGGCGCCGCAAGUCGCGUGUGAAAGCCCCGGGCUCAACCUGGGAAUGGCAUUGGAAACUGGCGGGCUUGAGUGUGGCAGAGGGGGGUGGAAUUCCGCGUGUAGCAGUGAAAUGCGUAGAGAUGCGGAGGAACACCGAUGGCGAAGGCAGCCCCCUGGGCUAACACUGACGCUCAGGCACGAAAGCGUGGGGAGCAAACAGG